rnacentral:rRNA from 1 species
UACGUAGGGGGCAAGCGUUGUCCGGAUUUAUUGGGCGUAAAGAGCUCGUAGGCGGUUCCGUAAGUCGGGUGUGAAAAAUCUGGGCUCAACCCAGUGGAGCACCCGAUACUGCGGUGACUGGAGUCCGGUAGGGGAGUGUGGAAUUCCUGGUGUAGCGGUGAAAUGCGUAGAUAUCAUUUGGAACGCCAAUGGUGAAAACAGGUAGCUGGGAGUGUGCUGACGCUGAGACACGAAAGCCAGGGGAGCGAACGGG